UGGCAGUGUGGUUAGCUGGUAGU
rnacentral:ncRNA from 2 species